CAGAUGCCACCUCACAGAUGCUACCUCACAGACUAGACAUCACUUCACAGACACUUAGUCUCUACUUUGCUUACCUUUUUUGUGCUUUUUCUAGUUUUUGCUUUGGUGAUGCUGGUGGAACCAGGGCUCUGAGAUAUUACGCAAAUAUGCUACCACUGAGCAAUACCCCCAGCCAUUUUCACAAGGAAAUGUAAUGUAUUUAUUUUAAAAAAUUACCUGGACAAGCUUAACUUUUACACCUUUUGAUAUCUUCUAGACGCCUCAGUUACCUUGAGCAAGCAAGUGUCUCCUUACAGAGGCAGAAGCAGUGGCUAGUCUUGUGUCUAUCAUCCCAAAGAACAAACUCGCAAGACUGAACAGUUUCAACAAUAGCCCAAAUAUUCCAGGAGGUCAUCCAUCUUGGGCAAGUUAACUGACAGGCUUGCUGGUUCUGCCAUGUUCUGUGUGGUGCAUUAAAGCCUCCAAACGGCUGAGCUCUUCCACAGCCUCUCUGAGUAUCAUCCAGCUACUACUUUGGGAGAGCAGGCUUUUCCCAUUAUCUGGUGUGACUCAUGGUGGAGGUCCAUGAGCUCCGCCCACUUCCACAAUGACGUCAUACAGAG
rnacentral:sRNA from 1 species